GCCCGUCCCCAUCCCCCCUUCGACAACUACAGCCCCCGCAGCCUCCAAACCCAGUAAGGCUGAAGCAGCAGCCACCAAAUACCCUCGAAAAGACCCUGCCGGACCUCUGAAACCCCAAAGAAAACCGAACACCAAAGUGGAAACGAGCCAACAGGCCCACGAACGAGCCCCCCCGAAUUGCGGGGGAGCCGGUCGGCACAGCCAGCACAGGCGCAGCGCUGCCAGCCCGUGGCUGGCCGCAGGGGGCCCGGCGCCCGGGGGACCACCCUCACCCUCCAACGCCGACUGCUGGUUCCUAAUUCCUACGAAUUCAACCACAUUCCCCCAGGGAUAACGGGGGCGGGAGGGCUUUAACCCCCGAGUACAAUUGCAGUGAAACCACAAGGAAACAGACGCAGGUGAAGGGCAGAGCGCGCUCGCUGCCGGGUUGCUGCGGCAAAACUUGCGGGGGGAUCGGGGCGCCUCACACAACGACGGGCAGUAAAGGGAGAGCCUCGCCCGAGGGCUCCGAGCGCGGAGAGAGGAGCCCAAGAAAAGGGGCUUUUCCCGGGAAGCGGGGGCGGGAGCGGCCGGCUGUGCAGGACCAGCCCCCGGCGCGCACCUUCCGCCCCCGCGCAGCUCCGCUGGGACCUGCGCGGCUUUUACACGGGCGAUCGCGCCUGGCCGGCUCACAUCGAGCAAGAGCCUUUCCGGGAACAGGCUACUAAGAGCAGCGAGAGCAGGAGGGGGAGGGUGGGUAUGAAAUAAAAGGCUAAAGAAACAGUGCGAUUUUGGGACCAGGACCAAAUCCUAACGUGUUACAUAAAAGCCACGGGCGGUUCUUAUCAGCAAGCCCGGCCUAAAGAGGAACAAUCCCCAGGACCGGCUCCAAAACAACCCUGUUAAAGGAACAAUUGUGAAAUGCCAACUUCCCACCAGCGUAUGAACAGCAGGAGCCGGGCAUGUCCUGUCUAUAACCGGGCUUCUGACAACCAACAGAGAGGGGAGGGGACGGAGGGGGAUCCUCUCUUGACAAGAUUUAUCAAGAAACAUUUAACUGGGCUUUAAUCAUAUUAGCAAGAGCCCAAUUAGGGCUGAGAGGGAAGCGAGGCUGGGGAGAGGAGGAGGAGCAAGCGAUGGAGUCACUCGAGGAUAAAGUCCUUUCAUCAGGCUGCGCUCUCGGCAAACAGAGGAGUGCGAAUAAUCAGUGCCCUUCACUGGGGGGACGGGGGAGGGAGCGGCUGGGGAAUGUGUGUAAAGGAUCAUUAAGGCCAGGCAGAAGGGGGUUUUUGUUGUUGUUGUUGUUUUUAAUUAUUACGGCUAUUAAGGUGGUGUCUGUGGGCUCCCUCGGGCGCUGUUCUCAGAGACGGAGCGGGGAAGAAGCGAAGGGGUUCGGAGGCACCUGCUGCACUGCGAUGACCUGAUCUGCGUGUGCGGAUAGGUCUCUCCCUCCCGGAGCAAAAAGGGGCUCCGUCCCUCCCACCCGUCCUCACAUCACCGAGGGAGAAUUUCCUUAAAAGCCCUUUUCCUAGCUCUCGUCUCCCUGAUGUCGAGCUCUUCCCCGGCGCAUCCUACCUCCCAGCGCGGCUCCUCGGGGGUAGCGCGGCGCCUCACCGCCCCCGGCGGAGCCCAGUCCGGUGCCCGGGGCUCGUCGAAAGCCCCGCGGAAGGCGCGGCGCUGGGAACGCCCAGUCUCUAUGCUUAUAUAACAGCUCUCAAGAGGAAGCUGCUAACAAGCCCAUCUGUUUGUUUGUGCCAGCUGUUUUAGUGGAGGCAUGCUGGAUGUGACUGAGCUCCACCUUCUUUUUUGAGAAAAUCAUUUGGAAAAUGACACAGUCUGAAGACUAAUGAGAAUUCAAAAUCUGGCUCCAAAUUUGCUCGUGAACCAGUCUGCUCCUCUGCAUCUGCAGAAAGGGACAGUGGCACUGUGACCUGGGACUCAGGAUGAGGUCAAGAGCAAGCUUGGCAAGAGCAGCUCAUUGAAAACUUCCUUUCUGGACCAGAGAAACCAACGGGCGUUUCUGAAAAUACCAGUAUUUUCUUCAUUUACGAGAAUUUUCAUGGAAAGUGAAGCUGAGCCAUGACAGAUAAAGACUUAAGGGAUAUUUUCCCCUAAGAGGACACUUUUUACAGAUCUUUUUCCUGCAGAAUUCUUAUUAAAAACAAGAGUUGCAAGUGGAGCACUUGUGAUUCCUGCCUUCUGCACACUAUUUUUACAGCAAUGUAUCUGCAGUACUGAAGGAAUCUCCUUGAGUAGAAAGUGGCAGUACACUUUAUUUAGCAGCAGUACUGUGGCAGUCCUUCUGUGUCCUGGAAGAUAUCUUGUAUGCUUUGAUGAGUGGAAGGCAGAGGCAGUUUUGAUGAGGUAGACAGGUUUCAGGAACUUGAUUUGUGCCAUUGCAAAAUAUUUCCUGAUGGAGGAAAGGGGGAGACAUGGCAUGGAGGGCUGGAGAAUUCUGUGUGACCAAGCAGUGAAUCAGACCUCUGAUUCUGAUUACAGAGUAAUCUCCAUGCUGUGUUUGGACUUUACCCUGGACUCUCCUUCACAGGAGGUAAUUUUACAUUUUGAAAGAUUAUGGAUUAACUUCUGGUUGAGACCACAGCAAAAUAGAAGAAAAAUCAGAAGAAAACCAUGAACCCCAAAUGUCUGUUAGAAGCUACUGAGAAAUUUCUGUACCAGAUCAGUUCAACUGAACAAAGAUGGAACUUUACCACCCAUACUAUCUGAAGCAAAGGGGUCUCAUUCUGCCCCUGACCAGAAUGCUGAUUUGUAGAGGAUGAACACUGCUCAUUCUUCGUGAAGAGAGAAUUAUUAUCCAUGGGGAUCUAGAGUCUGAAGAAAAGCUUGGCCCAGAAUACUGAGGUGGAGGAUAUAUAUCAUGUGGAAACUUGGAGGUGCUGUAUUCUGACUUCUGUUUAGAAUGAAGACUUGUUUGGAAAUGUGGGAAGUUCCUCCCUACAGAGCAGAGUUUCCAAGCUUUUAUCAGCUGUUGCAGAACAGUGGCACUCUCUGGAAAUGGAGACCUUAUACCAGAUCUGCAAGGUCAAGUCAGAAUCAUGCCCUAAACUGUGUUGAUUUCUAAUUUGGAACUAAAUGUUGAGCAAUAGAUUAACUAAUAGGAGUCAUUCAUUCUGCAAAAGUGUGCUUCUUAUUCUCAGAUAGAAAAAAUUUAAUCAUUUGUAUCAUUCCCCUUACUCUUGAGGAAGUCUUGAGGUAAUAAGAAAUUUUGUUUGGGCAUUUAAAAAAAAUAUUUUUUUUUGUUUGAAAUUGGAUUGAAGAUGGCAUUGGAAUACAAAAUUUUUAUGCUGAAGUGUGUCUGAGCUUGAGACUGGCAGGUAUAAGCUAACACCUGUGAGACACCUGUAGCAGCAGCUAAAGGACAGGUGGAUUCCAUUCCUUUACUGAGUCUCUUCUGAGGCACUUUUGCUGUGACACUGCAGGUGACAUACUCUAUCAAGGUCUUCAGACAUUGAAUUUAUUCUUGUUUCUCCAAACUUCACAAUGCUGAUUUUGGAGAACUGACCAUUAAAUCAUCUGCAGUCAACUGACUGACCCAUUGUGUUUUAAUUAAAUCACUUUCAACAAUCCUUAUGAACAAAUUCCUUUGUAAAUUUUCUAUUUAGGAAGUGUUGUCUGUAUAAUUUCAGAUAUUUCCCUCAGAGAUAGUGCAAUUAGUUUCUUCUUUAUAUGUCCAAUUGCAGAUUUAUCUGUGAUAAGAAUUGUAUUACUAGUAUCCAGUAUCAGUAUCUGGCAUGCCUUGGAUUCCACCAUAAAUGCUGUUGGCACUAUAAAAAAAAAACAAACCCUAAAAAAAACCAACAACAAAAAAAACCCUAUAGAGUUAAGAAAGGAAAAAAAUAUCUCAAACAAGAUAAUGUACAUUUAGUUUAUGGUGCAGUCAUGCACCUUUAGAAAGAAUUAUGGGGUCUGUUCUUCUCUCUAUGAAACUAAAUGAUGAGGCAUGUCUUGGACUUAUUUUUGCUAACAGAAUCUGAGCAGGUAAAAGCUCUGUGUUUUAGGGGUAAAAUUUUGUGUUUAUGAAUAAUUUUUCUGUGAACUGGUACUUUCCCACAAUGAAGCAGCUGGCUGAGAGUACAGUUUUCCCUGAGUUAGAUGAGAUCGUCAGUAUCCAGGAAGAUUUUCCCUGGAAGUUUUUCAGCACUGCAGAGAUGGAGAGGUCCCUUGGAAGCUCUUCCUGCUGAUAUAUAAUUCAGGCUGUUGGGAGCUCUUUGCUAUGUGUUUCUGUAACUUCCAUAAUCUGUAAACCAUACUUGUGUGGUCAAAGUAUAGCUGAAACGGAAAGGAGCGUUUGUGAGCUUAUGACUGGACUAGCUACAGUUUCACAGAAGAAAACCAGCUUUAUCUCUCUAAUCCUUCUGCUGGCAGGCAGGACAUGAAAAAUGAAUGUAAGACACUGUACCUAUUUAUUGCUUAAUUUUUCUCCAUAAAUUUUAACCUUGUGGUUAGAAAACCCAACAAAAUUCAGUAAUUCUCAAAUGUAAACAAGUAGAAAAAUAAUACUCCAGAGUGCAGGAGUUUGUAAGUAUCCAAACCCUAAAUAUGUUAACACAGCUGCGUGUCAUGUGAUCCAGAGCAGUUGUAACACAAAAAUAUGUGAAAUGUUUGAAAAUGUCCAGAAUACUGCAAAUUUCUGAUGAUCCUGUAACUGAACAAGAACAAAGCAACAAUUAGAAAUCCAAAUGGAAUGAAUAAAGAGUUGUGCUGAAAGGACACAAACAGCUCUUUUCCUUAGCUAAUAUUUGAAAGUUCCAACUAAAGCCCUCCCACAGUAAAGCUGUGUAAGCUAGAGGUCUUGCAAUGCUUUCUGAACGUAUUACUCUGCCUGUGAGCAAUCCAGCUGUGUUUUAAGGCAUUCUCAUAAUCUGUUUGGGUUUUUGGGGAGGUCAGUGUGCCACAGUUCACUGAGAUGCAGUUUCUUCAGAUGUUGCUGAACAAGGUAGCACAGAAGAAGAAAUAUUCUGGCUGUGCCAGUGUGGUAUUUCAGCUCACUGUUGCUAGUUUCUGAAUGUCUUGUCUGUCUUUAAGCAGUGUGUUCUGAAUGGAGCUCCACUACUGAAGAUGUUUGUGGCUCCUGGGCAAUGGCUGGAGUUCUGUGCUCUCCAACUAUGCCCUCAGCCAUGGCUGGGUUCCUGUGGCAGGUAAAGCAAAGCAUUGGUGAGAACACCAGCUGUGUGUGCAGCAUUUAGAAGCUAAAAUUCAUCAUUAGUCAAGAAGCUAACCAGUACACUUUGAAUGCCUAAAGUGGAGUGGAAAGCACACAGAAAGUCACAGAAACAUGGCAGAAAGCAAAAACAAUUGCUUAGAGAAGUAUUAUGGAAUUUACUCAGUCAUAAGUGUUAUCUGCAUGCCAGGUCUUCUUUCAAAAACAUGAUGUUUUUUCCACAUAGCUACUGUUUAGUAAUAAACCUAAUAACCUUCUGCAAAUAGCUUUUUGCCCCUGAGCAAUAAAUGCAGGAUUCAGCUAUAAUGGUAACUGCUGGAGAUUAGAAGAUAAGCCUCCAUGAAAAAGAGAACAAAAGAAAUUAAAAUGUAUUCAGUAACAUUUACAAAAUAAUUUUAAUUCCAUGCAAUUUCCAAAGCUAUGUUUCCAUGUGUUAAUAAUGUCAAACAAAAAGUAGCACUACUUUCAUAUUUCUUUUUUUUUCCUUUUAAAUAUAUUUUCAUCUUCUCUCCACUACUUGAGUAAAAGUGUCAUUUCUUGGUUUGAUCCUGCUCAACAUUUCUUAAGAGGCAUUUUGUGAAGUAAACUUUUCUACUUAAUAAAAUUUCUGUUUGUUGUAUUUUCAACCUCUGAUGCCGAAAGAAAGGCAUCACCUCCUAGUUAUUUGGUAUAUUCAAAGAAAAUGUUGCCAAAAUAUAUGGUGGUUGGUGUUGGCUUUUAACAGGUUUUAACUGUCUCUUCCUGGAAAAGGCAUACUUGGAAUUAAAUUUCAGCAAGUUCAGGUAUAUAGUUACAGAAUCUUUUCUUAGGAUCUGUCUUUUGGGACAGGGUCUGCUUUGAUUCAUGCCCUUAUUCAACAGGUAUGAGUGACUAGUAUGAGGUGAAAAUGUUCGAUAUUGAUUCUCUGUCAUAUUAGAAAUCAUUGCUUUUGAUAAAUGUUUUUAAAAUAUAUUUUUCUACUACUAUCACUGCCAAGAAUCCUGGGCUGAAUCAAAAGGAGUGUGGCCAGCAGGCUGAAGGAAGUGAUUGCUCCCCUCUGCUCUUGUGAGACCCCGCCUGGAGCACUGCACACAGUUCUGGCGUCCCCAGUACAAGGAGGACAUGGAACUGUUGGAGCAAGUCCAGAGGGGACCUUGAAGUCGAUAAGAGGACUGGAGCAUUUCCCCUACAAAGAUGGAGAAAACUGGGGCUGUUCAGCCUGGAGAAGAGAAGGUGGCGCAGGGAACUCAUCCACCUUCCAGUGUCUGAGAGGGUCUGCAGGGAAGCUCUUGAUCUAGUACUCUUGAGCAACUUGAUCUAGUGGGAGAUGUCCCAGCACCUGACAGGGUGGUUUGGGACUAGAUGGUGUCUAAGGCCCAUUCCAACCCUGCAAUGUUCUGUGAUUAUGGCAUCUCUGUAGAUGUACAAAACUUACCAAACAGAAGGGCCAUUUCUUCACAAGCCUUCAUAAAUUCAGGUAUUUGGUGCUACUUUUUGCUGCUUGUCCAACCAAUGCCUUGUGGAAACCGUGCCAAGAUGCAGAAAAGAGCAUAGAUUGUAGAAAUGAGUAGGAAUGGUGCAAAGUCUCGAUUUUCUCCAGAACUUUUCUGUAAAUCAGGCAGUUGAUCUGAGAUGCAGUGCCUUGAUACUUCAUGUAUACAAGCAUUUCCAAAUAUGUGUACUACCAUGAGUAUAUGUGUGAUCAACAUGAUUUAUAAUAUAUAAUGAGCCUUAUCUAGAACAGUAUGGUAUUAUAUUUACCAGACUUUUUGCUUUACUAGAGGCAGGAUAUUCUUGUUUGAAGGACUGUUCUUUCUCAAAAGUGUGUGUAUACCUUCUAGGAAAAUAAGAGAAAAAUUUAGUGUCAAAAAAGGUCACUUCUGGCUUUGAGUGGAUAUUUAGGAUAAUUUGAUUCUUAUCUACCAGAAAAUUUAAUCUGAGAAUACUGGCCGAGGUGGGAAGGAGGUAGGCCUUCUACCUCCUCUCUUGGUGGUUAAGCUGUUCAUCUGCAAGAAUGGACGCUGUGGUUUAAUUCUGCCCUCUGCUCUGGAGAUUUAGAUCCUGCUGUCCUGUCUCUUGGGACGAGACAUGAACAAUUAGCAGCAGUGAGGUCAGCUGCAAUGUGUUCUCAUUUGCUCCUCUUUACACAUUCUUGCUUCAGAGGAGCUCUCUGCAGGUCUGAUGCCCUCUCUGCCAGGGGCUUGUGCUAGUCAGCUGGCUUUAAGGAUGUUCAGUUUGGUGGUGGCCAUUUGAGUGCUGCAUGCAAAGUGAACCAUUUUCAAUACAAAGGGUGAGAACCUGCCUCCCGAUCCUUCAGUAAUGAGUCACGCAAGCAAAAUCAGAUCUUAGCUCAAACCCAUACCCUGUCCAAUCAAGACAGGAAUUUGAAUUUGUGUUCCUAACUCACCAUAGGAGUAUCUCAGCAAUUACUCUUCAUAUAAUUCCAAAAUGGAACCAGUCCAAUAAGCCACUUCAUGCAAACUACUUCAAUGAUGGUUGGGAGUGAAAGAGCAAUAGAGUGAGAAUGAUUCUUCAGCCUUGUGUUGGUACUCACUUUGGAAGCUGUGGCUUCAAUACAGUAGGAAGCAUUCUUAGUAUAACAAAGAGUGAACUGUAUAUAAAAACUCAGAGAGAACAAUCCCUUUGCAACAAUUUUGUAAAUCUUGUAUUGUAUUUCCUUGUCUUUUAUGUUUGCAUUUCCCAAAUGUUUGUAUUUUCCAAAAAUGCUUCCUCUUGAGACACAUGGAACAUUUCAUGUCAAACGAAGUACAGUGGGCUGGGUGGGGAUGGUAGUGGUUUUGGUGUGGAAACCUGGAAAAAUUGUGAAUUUGGUUCAGUUUGAACAACAUUCUUUUCCAAAUGUUUGGCUUGGCAGCUGAACUGAAAAACCAGUUAUUUGACAGCCCUAAGCCCUCUUUUGCAGUUGGACCCUUGUGUUUUACUAGGAAAAUUGUAGCACUAGUCCCUGGAGCUGUUCAUGCAUGGCACAGAGGCAUGAAAUGGAAAUCCCACUAAAAUUUAGGGUUGUCUGAGUUUUUUGUAACUGGGGGAACUCUGAAGUGAGAUUAAAUGAUAGCAUCCAGAGUGUGUGCAUUACUGGACUCUCCAAGGACACACUGUUGUUUUCAGAGAUUCCCUCUGCCACUCCCUUGUCAAAAAGAUACCUUUGAUCCUUAUGGGAAAUAUUAGGAGGAAAGCGCUUGACUUGAGUGCGUUGUUCACUGGGAACAGAGACAUUCCUUUUUUUAACUUGUUCAUUCCAUGAUGUAAUGAGAACAUUUUAAAUGAGGGCAAGCAAAUUACAAAUUGCAAGCUUUUUCCUAGAUGUUGCUUAC